rnacentral:rRNA from 1 species
CCUACGGGGGGCUGCAGUGGGGAAUAUUGGACAAUGGGCGAAAGCCUGAUCCAGCCAUGCCGCGUGUGUGAAGAAGGCCUUCGGGUUGUAAAGCACUUUCAGUGGGGAAGAAAGCCUUGGGGCUAAUACCCUCGAGGAAGGACAUCACCCACAGAAGAAGCACCGGCUAACUCCGUGCCAGCAGCCGCGGUAAUACGGAGGGUGCGAGCGUUAAUCGGAAUUACUGGGCGUAAAGCGCGCGUAGGCGGUCUGAUAAGCCGGUUGUGAAAGCCCCGGGCUCAACCUGGGAACGGCAUCCGGAACUGUCAGGCUAGAGUGCAGGAGAGGAAGGUAGAAUUCCCGGUGUAGCGGUGAAAUGUGUAGAGAUCGGGAGGAAUACCAGUGGCGAAGGCGGCCUUCUGGACUGACACUGACGCUGAGGUGCGAAAGCGUGGGUAGCAAACAGGAUUAGAUACCCCAGUAGUC